rnacentral:rRNA from 1 species
CCUACGGGGCGCAGCAGUGAGGAAUAUUGGUCAAUGGACGCAAGUCUGAACCAGCCAUGCCGCGUGCAGGAAGACGGCUCCAUGAGUUGUAAACUGCUUUUGUACGAGGGUAAACGCAGAUACGCGUAUCUGUCUGAAAGUAUCGUACGAAUAAGGAUCGGCUAACUCCGUGCCAGCAGCCGCGGUAAUACGGAGGAUUCAAGCGUUAUCCGGAUUUAUUGGGUUUAAAGGGUGCGUAGGCGGUCGGAUAAGUUAGAGGUGAAAUCCCGAGGCUCAACUUCGGAAUUGCCUCUGAUACUGUUCGGCGAGAGAGUAGUUGCGGUAGGCGGAAUGUAUGGUGUAGCGGUGAAAUGCUUAGAGAUCAUACAGAACACCGAUUGCGAAGGCAGCUUACCAAGCUACUUCUGACGUUGAGGCACGAAAGCGUGGGGAGCAAACAGGAUUAGAUACCCGAGUAGUC